CCUCCACUCUCUUCUCCACCCCACCCCCACUUUGCCCUUCGCCGCAAAAAUAUUAUUUUUUUUACCUUUUCUUCCCCCACGCGGCGACCGCUUCGCUUGGCUGGCUUUCCCCUUCCCGGCGAGCGAGCGAACGAAGCCAUGGCGGUUGCGGCCGGGGAGGGGAGGAGGGGAAAGCGGAGCCGUUGCUUUGCCGGAAAAGGGAGGAGGGGGAGGGGUGCCGCUGCCGGCUUCGCCUUCCAGCCGCCCGCCGCCCAUCUCCAUCUCCCUCCCACUCUCCCUCUCCCGUUGUCGCCUUCUGCCCCAGCUAUUUUGGAUGCGGCUCGGCCCGCCCCGGCCCGGCCCAAAUACGAGAGGGGACUUCAAUGGCGCAGAUUGGGUAUGAGGCUGAAGCCAUCUAGCCCCGGUGGUAGAUCCACCCCUGGUUAAAAUUGCAUCUCAAUAGGUUGGUCUGGAGAUGGUGAUAAAAGGCCUUCAGAAAUAAACACCAAUAUUUAGUUCACUUUGUGAUAAAUAUCAUCAUGAAGGUGAAAACAAAAGACCAGUUUUGCUUGAUCGAUUUCUCACAUUACGCACUUUAAACAAUAAAAAUUCUAGUUGUACAAUGUGAAUUACUUCGAUUAACAUCGAUCCAGGACUGAUGCUGAUCAGAUGAAUUGUUCAAGAUUACUGUAGGUAGGGCAGAGAUGAUUAUUGUUCAAUGGCAGGUCUUAGGUUCCAUGUUUCAGUCACAAUAUAGGCGAGUAACUUAAUGAGUACUC